ACCUGCGCCGCCAUCUCACGAUCGCUCAGGCCACCACAAAUUUGAAUCAAACGGUCAGAGAGCGUUGAUUUGCCGUGGUCAAUGUGAGCGAUGAUGGAGAAAUUUCGUAUGUGCUUCAUUUAUAUGAAUAUCUUCACGUAGAAAAUCAGUGGGAAACUUGAGCACGGACACAUUCAGGAAAGUGAGCUUUACCCGGAACCCUGUCGGCCUCAUUAAUGACGACGCAUAUUACACUGUUAACGCCGCGCGUUAAAGAAUGGAACUGUGGGGAAUCGCAACAGAUUUCAGCGGUUAAGCCGAUUGAGAAAGGCCGCAUCAAAUGCGGCCUGGACGGGGAUCACGCUUCGCUUUCCACGCGCAACGCAUCAGGCGGUAACGCAACGCUAAGAAUCACCGGCUGGAAAGCCUCGCGAUCGCCGAAGAGUUUGGAUACACCUUUCGCGACGAUAAAGCCGCCAAUGCCGCCUAACAACGCGCCACAGGCCGCAGCCAGAUCGCUGGCGAACAGCAUCUGGAAGAUGCCCGCCACUAAAAACAGGCCAAACAGCGGCGUCAUGUAAACCAGCAAAGCGGAACCCAACAAGCUGCUUUCGCGGAUGCCUAACUCAAUGCGCUGGCCGGGUUGCAACGGCUCCGCGCUGGCGAUAGUCAUCACGUGGGCAUUUUUCGGCCCCAGCUGAUUAAGCGCGUGGCUGCCGCAGCCUUUACGCGCUGAGCAGCUGUUACAAGACGUUUUCGCUUCCGUGUGCAGUGUGGCAAUGCCUUCUUUCCACGCCACCACGGUGGCCCAUUCUCUCAUCAUUUUGGUGAACCCGAAUCUAUGCUGUCCGCAAUACGU
rnacentral:ncRNA from 2 species